GCCAUCCUUUUCUUGGGGUUGUGCUACUGCCCAACGAGCGCAUAGUGUGGGCUGCACUGCUGAUGCCUCAACAACACGCUUGCACCAGCUGGAGCUCUGCUUUACUUUGGUGCAAUUUUGGAGUU